AAGGAAUACCUGAUUAUUCCGUUUUCUAUAAAACGAACCAAAUUUCAAACAUUCAAAUCACGACCGCUUUUACGAACUCCUCAAUCAUAACAUAUGAAACGUUAUUUCUUGGAACAAGCAAAAUUGGCGGCUGUUUCAAGUUCUUGUCGGUUGCGAAAACAAAUCAAAAAUUCUUAAUACUAUAAAAUAUUUUUAACAAGUUCCAGAAUUAAUUGAAAAAAGUUGAACAUAUAUUCGAACUGAAGUCAUGAAACACGUAUCAAGUAUCACGAAUCACGAAUCAUGAAUCACGAAACACGAAUUUUUUGGAGGAAGAUACAUACCAGCCUUAAAACCAAAUCCAAUUGAAAAAACACAAGCCGCUAAAAAAACGAUCCGACCACCGACUCGUCUCUUGCAAAAGUAACCAAUGAACAAGAAAACUUGUGUCGUUCUUUCAAAAUUAAUAUAAAUACAUUUGGCAGCCCAUACUCAAAUUUGCGUGAUGUAACUAUAUUAAUUUGGUUUAGACUUUUUGGACACAAAUGAAUUUCACAAGGGGAUAAAUCGGAUUAGCACACUAUUUAAUAGUUAUUUCUUGGAACAAGCAAAAUUGGCGGCUGUUUCAAGUUCUUGUCGGUUGCGAAAACAAAUCAAAAAUUCUUAAUACUAUAAAAUAUUUUUAACAAGUUCCAGAAUUAAUUGAAAAAAGUUGAACAUAUAUUCGAACUGAAGUCAUGAAACACGUAUCAAGUAUCACGAAUCACGAAUCAUGAAUCACGAAACACGAAUUUUUUGGAGGAAGAUACAUACCAGCCUUAAAACCAAAUCCAA